GGUGACUGGUACGGAUGGUUCCCACCCGCGGUCUCUUCUGCACUUUCACGGGUGACCGUGCCCCUGCUGUCGGUAUUGCCCCGGUCCACCCACCUCUGCCCAGGGUUCUUCUGCUCGCGCCCCACACGGCUCCGCCCGAGCCUGCGCUCGGAGCGCAGACCUGCUGGGUUCCGCCCGGCCCGAGUGUUCCCACGGGUUCUCGGUGACGCGGGGCCCGAGGGAUACUUUGCAGAGGGGAAAAGUCUGCGUCCGCCUUCUUCACUAGAAAUGGCCCAUGUAUAACCCAGUGGGAUGAAUUAACUUACUGCAUAGACAUGAGAACCUAAAUUUGAGUUUGCACCCAUGUAAAAGUCCAGGUGCUCUGUAACAGAGCCAGACUGGUUUCCUAUCUCCCAGGAUUUUGUUCUCUAGUGAAAAGAGUUAUCAAUCCAAGAGCCUUUUCAACUGCAGGAUCGUCAGGUUCCGAUGAGUCUCACGUGGCCACUGCACCUCCAGAUAUAUGCUCUCGGACAGUGUGGCCUGAUGAAACCAUGGGACCCUUUGGACCUCAGGACCAGAGAUUCCAGCUUCCUGGGAAUAUAGGCUUCGAUUGUCACCUCAAUGGGACAGCCUCACAGAAGAAAAGCCAGGCCCAUAAAACCUUGCCUGAUGUUCUAGCAGAGCCUCUUUCAACCGAAAGGCACGAGUUUGUGAUGGCCCAGUAUGUGAAUGAGUUUCAGGAUAGCAAUGCACCUGUUGAGCAAGAGAUCAGCAGUGCAGAAACUUACUUUGAAAGUGCCAGAGUUGAGUGUGCCAUCCAGACAUGUCCCGAACUGCUGCGGAGAGAUUUUGAGUCACUUUUUCCAGAGGUGGCUAAUAGCAAACUGAUGAUUCUGACUGUAACCCAGAAAACUGAACAUGACAUGACUGUCUGGAGUGAAGAGGUAGAAGUUGAGAGAGAGGCGCUCUUGGA
rnacentral:lncRNA from 1 species